rnacentral:rRNA from 1 species
UACGUAGGUGGCAAGCGUUGUCCGGAUUUACUGGGCGUAAAGGAUGCGUAGGCGGACAUUUUAAGUCAGAUGUGAAAUACCCGAGCUUAACUUGGGUGCUGCAUUUGAAACUGGGUGUCUAGAGUGCAGGAGAGGUAAGUGGAAUUCCUAGUGUAGCGGUGAAAUGCGUAGAGAUUAGGAAGAACACCAGUGGCGAAGGCGACUUACUGGACUGUAACUGACGCUGAGGCACGAAAAGUGUGGGGGAUCAAACAGG